rnacentral:rRNA from 1 species
CACGUAGGGGGCGAGCGUUGUCCGGAUUUAUUGGGCGUAAAGAGCGUGUAGGCGGCCUGAAAGGUCAGCUGUGAAAACUCGAGGCUCAACCUCGAGACGUCGGUUGAAACCAUCUGGCUAGAGUCCGGAAGAGGAGUGUGGAAUUCCCGGUGUAGCGGUGAAAUGCGCAGAUAUCGGGAAGAACACCCGUGGCGAAGGCGGCACUCUGGGACGGUACUGACGCUGAGACGCGAAAGCGUGGGGAGCGAACAGG